CGAACGGGUGAGUAACGCGUGAGGAGCCUGCCUCAAAGAGGGGGACAACAGUUGGAAACGACUGCUAAUACCGCAUAAGCCCACGGGUCGGCAUCGACCAGAGGGAAAAGGAGCAAUCCGCUUUGAGAUGGCCUCGCGUCCGAUUAGCUAGUUGGUGAGGUAAUGGCCCACCAAGGCAACGAUCGGUAGCCGGACUGAGAGGUUGAACGGCCACAUUGGGACUGAGACACGGCCCAGACUCCUACGGGAGGCAGCAUG
rnacentral:rRNA from 1 species